AUUGAACGCUGGCGGCAUGCCUUACACAUGCAAGUCGAACGGCAGCACGGGGCAACCUGGUGGCGAGUGGCGAACGGGUGAGUAAUGCAUCGGAACGUGCCAUUGAGUGGGGGAUAACGUAGCGAAAGUUGCGCUAAUACCGCAUAUUCUGUGAGCAGGAAAGCAGGGGACCGCAAGGCCUUGCGCUCUUUGAGCGGCCGAUGUCAGAUUAGCUAGUUGGUGAGGUAACGGCUUACCAAGGCGACGAUCUGUAGCGGGUCUGAGAGGAUGAUCCGCCACACUGGAACUGAGACACGGUCCAGACUCCUACGGGAGGCAGCAGUGGGGAAUUUUGGACAAUGGGCGCAAGCCUGAUCCAGCCAUGCCGCGUGAGUGAAGAAGGCCUCGGUUGUAAGUA
rnacentral:rRNA from 1 species